rnacentral:misc_RNA from 1 species
GUAGGUGAACCUGCGGAAGGAUCAUUAAUGAAACUUCAAAGUCGGCUUUUUUGUCAUCUGUGCUGGUGGAGACACAUGUGCACGUUGGCAAAAAGUCGCAAAUCCACACACCUGUGCAUCUAUGACUCUGAGUAUCGCUUUGCAUGGCCCUCACAGGCCUGGUACUCGAGUACUUUACACACUCUGAAUGUAAUGGAAUGUCUAUUUGUACAAUGUACAACUAAAAACAACUUUCAACAACGGAUCUCUUGGCUCUC